rnacentral:tRNA from 1 species
GCCCGUAUGGCUCAGUUGGUAGAGCAUGGUGUUUGCAACGCCAGGGUUGUGGGUUUGAUUCCCACAGGGGACC